rnacentral:lncRNA from 1 species
GAAAACGUUGUUGCAGAUGCACUCUCACGGCUACCUGAGCAAGCUAAGGUUUCAGCCAUCUCCCUUCCUACCACUAGUCUCCUCGUGGACAUUAGGGAAGAAUGGAAGAAGGAUCCAGAGAUCAGCAACAUUACAAAAAAAAUUGGAGGAGGAUCCAAGUGCAAUAGCCCACUACACUUGGGAUUCGAGGGAUCUACGCUACAAAGGUCGUAUUGUGCUUAUACGUGACUCCCC